rnacentral:rRNA from 1 species
AUUGAACGCUGGCGGCAUGCUUUACACAUGCAAGUCGGACGGCAGCGGGGUAGUGCUUGCACUACUGCCGGCGAGUGGCGAACGGGUGAGUAAUAUAUUGGAACGUACCGAGUAAUGGGGGAUAACCAAUCGAAAGAUUGGCUAAUACCGCAUACGCUCUGAGGAGGAAAGCAGGGGACCUUCGGGCCUUGCGUUAUUCGAGCGGCCAAUAUGUGAUUAGCUAGUUGGUGGGGUAAGGGCCUACCAAGGCGACGAUCAGUAGCGGGUCUGAGAGGAUGAUCAGCCACACUGGGACUGAGACACGGCCCAGACUCCUACGGGAGGCAGCAGUGGGGAAUUUUGGACAAUGGGCGCAAGCCUGAUCCAGCCAUGCCGCGUGUCUGAAGAAGGCCUUCGGGUUGUAAAGGACUUUUGUUAGGGAAGAAAAAGGAGCGGUUAAUACCCGUGUCUGCUGACGGUACCUAAAGAAUAAGCACCGGCUAACUACGUG